CCUCUGAUAGUCCAGUGGUUGAGACUCUGCAUUUCUACUGCAGAAGGCAUGUGUUCAGUUCCCCUUCUGGGAA
rnacentral:tRNA from 1 species